UGAGGGCUGGAGAGUUGGCUCAAUGGUUAAAAUGCUGGCUGCCCUUUCAGAGGACACAGGUUCUAUUCCCAGCACCCACAUGGCAGCUCACAACCAUCUGCAAAUCCAGUCCAGGGGAUCUAUUGACCUUUUCCGGUUUCUGCUGGCCUCUCACUCCUUACAGAAAUCAGAAAGCCACGCCUGACCAGACAGUACCAUGCUUAAGGAGUUUAUGUAGAUCUGGAAUAAGGAACCAAGAAUGUAUGUUAGCACAGCAGGCUGCCUGUAAUCCAGAGAAAGAGGAUGCUAGAGCAAACUGAAUUGCAAGACUACCUGUGUCAGCAAGCUCUGAAUUUGAUUUAGGACCCACCCUCUGCUGGUUUGAAUGAGAAUGCUGCUCCCCCUACUUUUCUCUUCUUGGCACAUUUAAUAAACUUGUAUUUUGAGGGAGUGGUUAAAGAAAAUAAGAUGAAAUCAGAAUAGAUUUUCUGACUUAAUUAGGGGUGCACCGUACUGUACAAUACUCCUUGUGUUUUAGAUGAACUCCUUUCUGAAGAAGACCCAUUCAAUAAUCCAGUUGGAGAAGGAGUGAAUAUGACCAGAAAGAAAUACUGCAGGCAGAUUAUGACAUUUUCCAGAUUUGGAAUUUCGCACAUGGUCUUGGACUUAAGGUGAAAAUAGGAAAGUUUUAAUCAAUAUCUUCCACAUGGUGAACAGCUCUAUUUAUCUGAAGACAUGAUAUCAUGAGUGGGUCCCAGAAGUGGACAGUUCCUCUCCACCUUGCCUCCCAUCCAGAUUAACUGCUGUUAGAAAAUAUCAGGCUUCAGAAAGGCAACAGCAAAACAUAAAGAAACGAACUAUAAUAAGGUAAAAUAAAACCACCACUUCAAAGUUGGACACUGAAAAUAAACCACAACAACAGAGCUCCAAGAGAAGGCACAGGAAUUAGAGAGCCACUGGUUCACAAUGUUAGGAAUCCCAUAAGAACACUAAACUGGAGGAUAUGAUACAGCAGCUGACCUGGUGAACAUCCACCUUGGCCCUGUGCUUGGGCCUUCAUUCUCUGUGAGUUCAUAUGAUCUUUGCUCAGUUUAUUUGGAGAUCUUUUUUUUUCCUGGUGUCGUCCAUGCCCCCUGUCUCUUACACUCCUCCUGCCUCCUCUUAUGUGGGUUACCUGAGCUCUGAGAUGUGGGAUUUGCAGGAGGCAAACCAUUUAGAGCUGUGUGUUCCAAGGUCUCUCUCUGCUUAAUGUCUGGCUAUGAGUCUGUAUUUGUUCCCACAUGCUGCAGGAGGAAGCUUCUUUGAUGGGACUGAAUAAGGGACAGAUUUAUGAGUAUAGCAAUAUACCAUUAGGAGUCAUUUUGUUGUUGUUUUAGACCAGUAGUAUUUUGGUUUUGUCAUAGUUUCUGGAUAUCUAGUCUCUGGUUCUUGGUCACCUGAGCAGUGUCAGGUAUGGAUUCUGGAAAUCUAAAAUAAUUCAUCACUUCUCCUGAUUCAUACCACACACCAAAAUUACACCAACACGAACUAAUUCUAGAGGUUUAUAAGUAACAACAACAAUGAAGCAGAAAUAAAUGUACCCUGAUUAAAAAGAAAACCCUAGAAGCAGAUUGAUUCCCCAUAGAAUUAUGUCAGAAUAUCAGAGGAUAACUGAUACUGAAGCUACAUUAAAGCAUUCCUUGAUGUAAAAUGAAGGCAAGGAUUCCAGAUUCAGUAUGAAGUUAAUAUUACCUGAUAGCAAACCAGAUAAAGUGCAAAAAUGAAAAAUUUUUAACUUUUAUUGUUAACUUUUUGCCAUUUCACAUGAUAUACCUUGCUUAGUACACACUUUGAUCCCUUAUUCCCUGCAGUCCUGGCCCAUACAAAUCCUUCUCCCUGUCUCCCUCCCUCUCUAUCCCCAUCUCUCUCUCUCCCUCGUUCCAUAACUCUCUCUCAUGUUCAUUUCUACUCAUUUUG